UACGUAGGGGGCAAGCGUUAUCCGGAUUUACUGGGUGUAAAGGGAGCGUAGACGGAAUUGCAAGUCUGAUGUGAAAAUCCGGGGCCCAACCCCGGAAGUGCAUUGGAAACUGUAUUUCUAGAGUGUCGGAGAGGCAAGUGGAAUUCCUGGUGUAGCGGUGAAAUGCGUAGAUAUCAGGAGGAACACCAGUGGCGAAGGCGGCUUGCUGGACGAUGACUGACGUUGAGGCUCGAAAGCGUGGGGAGCAAACAGG
rnacentral:rRNA from 1 species